GACGCGGACUGGGAUCGCUAGCAAGCGUGCCUCUGAGCAUGUGCAGAAUGAUCGCCGACGCGGAUGACUGAGAUUGCAGGUCCGAGUCUGGCUUGUCAACUUGCGCCCUUGAACCUCACAUUUUCAGACGGAUGGGCCACCUGCAUGAUGUUGCCAGCUGGGGGGGAAGGUUAGGUCUCCCUAAGGCAAUCAGUAGCUGGGAUCUGUGAGAGAAGCAUCGAGGUAAAUAGAUUCCAGGGUCCGGAUCUGAUCUGGUGCUCUCCCAAAGGAACUUGCAAUACUCGUCCCAUCCUGUAUUAAUUCGACUAUCAGCUAAGACCCUGUUCCAACCUUGCUUGUGUUACUCACGGUUAUCAUAUUUUAUUCAUUCCUUCGCAAGAGCACCUAAAUUAUUGAAGAGAUUUGUUAUACAGACAAAUCUGACAAUACUGCCUUGCCAUCAGAGAAUCGAGCCAUCGAUUCCCGCAUUGCAGGGGGUUGGACUAGAUGACCUUUGGCUCCCUUCCAACUAUGAUUCUAGAAAUCAAUGGGUUUCAUUACCACAGGUAACAGUUGCUGUCUCACAUUCUCUUCUGUCUUGUCCCUUUGCCAGCAAACAAUAUAAAGCUGCCAUACAUACAAGGAAAGAAUCUACGGAAUCUCAUAAAUACCAGCAAAAUAGAUAUUAUUUGUUGUCAUUAUCUUCCAAAUCUUCCUUAUACUGCAGUCCGAGACACGUUACUUGACAUUUCCCACAAUAAUCACAUGUGAGUUUAGUGGUGAAUCAUACCCCAUUCCCUCCCACCUCCUGGUUUCCAAAUAAGUUGCUAGUACCUUAACUACCAACAACACAAACGUAACAGGCUAUAUGUAACUCUAUAAAUUCGUUUUCAAAUGCAAUUCAACAUAUAUCAAGAUAUAUGGUUCUAUAGACCAACUUAUCAUAUAAACAAAACAUAUUAUGAGAAAUUAAAGUCCAGCAGAUUGAUCAGGAAAUACAAUCUAUUCAGAUCUUAUAUUAGCAAUAUACACAGUGUGGAAUUCUAAUAUCUUGUAGUGUUCCACGUGAAGAUGAUUUCAAGAAUUCUAGCGUUCCUUGUAUGCAGGUUUCUGACGAAGAACUUGGAAGAAUGGCACAUGCAGAAAAUAAGACAAGGAUUCCAGGAUAAUUCCUUAUUUCGCCCAACCGGGCUUUGUCAGCCGUGCCUACUCGUAUUCUUGUAUAUCAGAGACAUGGAACAUGGAACAUAAUGGAUUCAGGCACAACCUUGCUACCAUCUUAUAAUUCCACCAGUAUGAUUGCACUAAAUGAUUGUUUUAUCUCUUUUAGGAAUAUCGCCAUGAGCUACUGGAUGUCACAUUUUCCACCAUCAGGAAUUGUGGGGCAUAUUAUAGACUUACUCCGUUUCAUUCGUAAGAUUUCUUAGCAGCCUUUCACCAUAUGUCAGUGGUGUCCAAACAUUUUUCAAAGAGGGC